GCUAGCGUAGCUCAGACGGUAGAGCAUCUGCCUCAAAAUAUAUCUAGAUCAAUAGAUAUUAACAGCAAGAAAAUACCAAGCAGGAGGUCGCAAGUUCGAAUCUUGUCGCUAGCA
rnacentral:tRNA from 1 species